rnacentral:rRNA from 1 species
GAUGAACGCUGGCGGCGUGCCUAAUACAUGCAAGUCGAGCGAACGGACGAGAAGCUUGCUUCUCUGAUGUUAGCGGCGGACGGGUGAGUAACACGUGGAUAACCUACCUAUAAGACUGGGAUAACUUCGGGAAACCGGAGCUAAUACCGGAUGAUAUUUUGAACCGCAUGGUUCAAAAGUGAAAGACGGUCUUGCUGUCACUUAUAGAUGGAUCCGCGCUGCAUUAGCUAGUUGGUAAGGUAACGGCUUACCAAGGCAACGAUGCAUAGCCGACCUGAGAGGGUGAUCGGCCACACUGGAACUGAGACACGGUCCAGACUCCGACGGGAGGCAGCAGUAGGGAAUCUUACGCAAUGGGCGAAAGCCUGACGGAGCAACGCCGCGUGAGUGAUGAAGGUCUUCGGAUCGUAAAACUCUGUUAUUAGGGAAGAACAUAUGUGUAAGUAACUGUGCACAUCUUGACGGUACCUAAUCAGAAAGCCACGGCUAACUACGUG